CUUCAAUGAUGAUAUGAUGACGAGUCAGACCAGGCCACAUCCUGUCCAGGCCUAGGGCCACGUUCUGUGACUCUACCCCACGGCGAUGUGACCUCAUCACCUGAUGAUCUUGAGGCAUUUGUCUGAGAAGG